CCACAGCUGCAACCGCUCAGGAAGAGGUCUGAAGUGCCUCACGGCCACCCCGACUGGCGAGUCUAAGAAUAUAG
rfam:Lactobacillus harbinensis DSM 16991 NODE_76, whole genome shotgun sequence.